GUGGCUGAGCCGGGGCCUCCGCGCUUCGGUCGGCGAGAUGGGCAUCCCGGGAACCACCACCGCGCGGGUGGUGGACGCCGAGGGCCUGGGAACACGGCGGCCCUCCCGCUGACAGGUGACAGACCCGGGCGGGCCCGGAGCCGCUCCGGUGACGCCGAGGGCCAAGCUCGAGGCUCGCGGAGGCGGCCGCGGGGCGGCGCUGCGCCCCUUCCGGCUGCUGGGCCUUCUGGCCGCAGGCUCCUCUGCCGCGGGGCGCUUCGUGGGCUCCCAGUCUUCGGCCCGGCUCCGGGGCACAGGAUGCAGUGUCCCGGCGCCGAGUACCUGGUUUCUGCAGAGAGAACCCCCCGGAAAAGAGAGUGGAGACCUCAGAUUUAUAGGAAGUGCACAGAUACAACAUGGCUAUUCCUCUUCUUUCUCUUUUGGACUGGUUUGCUGUUCAUCAUGGGCUACUCGAUGGUGGCAGGAGCCACGGGAAGACUCCUCUUUGGCUAUGACAGCUUUGGCAACGUGUGUGGCAAGAAGAACUCCCCUGUAGAAGGGGCCCCUCUUUCAGGGCAGGACAUGACCCUGAAAAGACACGUAUUCUUUAUGAAUUCCUGCAACCCGGAAGUCAAGGACGUGAGGCUCAGUUCCACCAUCCUGUGCGUGUCGAGCUGUCCUGAAGAGCAGCUUGAUACCCUGGAAGAGGUCCAGCUCUUUGCAGACAAGAAUGGGUCCUUCCUGUGUGUUUACAGUUUGAAUUCCAUCAACUACACCCAGAAUCCAAAUGCAGACUCAUUGUGUCCCAGGCUGCCAGUUCCUCCGAGCAAGUCUUUCCCCUUGUUUAACAGAUGCGUUCCUCAAACACCCGAGUGCUAUUCCUUGUUUGCAUCUGUUUUGAUAAAUGAUGUUGACACCCUCCAUCAAAUUCUAAGUGGAAUAAUGUCAGGAAGAGACACAAUCCUUGGUCUGUGUAUCCUCGCAUUAGCCUUGUCUUUGGCCAUGAUGUUCACCUUCUGGUUCAUCACCACCCUUCUGGUUCACAUUUUCAUUGCACUGAUUAUUUCGGGACUGCUGUUUGUCUGUGGUGUCUUAUGGUGGCUGUAUUACGACUAUACCCAUGACCUCAGCAUAGAAUUGGACACAGAAAGGGAAAAUAUGAAGUGUUUGCUGGGGUUUGCUCUUGUAUCUACAGUAAUCACGGCAGUUCUGCUCAGCUUGAUUUUUGUCUUCAGAAAAAGAAUAAAAUUGACAGUCGAACUUUUCCAAGUCAUUAAUAAAGCCAUCAGCAACUCUCCAUUCCUGCUGUUCCAACCACUAUGGACUUUUGCCAUCCUCAUUUUCUUCUGGGUCCUCUGGGUGGCCGUGCUGCUGAGCCUGGGAACUGCAGGAGCUGCACAGGUUAUUGAAGGUGGCCAAGUGGAAUAUAAGCCUAUUUUAGGCAUUCGGUAUAUGUGGUGGUACCAUUUGAUUGGCCUCAUCUGGACUAGCGAAUUCAUCCUUGCGUGCCAGCAAAUGACUGUAGCCGGCGCACUUGUUACUUGCUAUUUCAACAGAAAUAAAAAUGACCCUCCUGAUCGCCCAAUCCUUUGGUCUCUCUCCAUUCUUUUCUGCUACCAUCAAGGAACAGCCAUAAAAGGGUCAUUUUUAAUCACUGUGGCAAGGAUUCCAAGAACCAUUCUCAAGUACAUUUACAACACUCUGAAAGACAAGCAUAAUGCAUGGUCGACGUACAUGUUCAGAUGCUGCUUCUGCUGUUUCUGGUGUCUUGACAAAUGCCUAUGUCAUCUCAACCAGAAUGCAUAUGCUGCAACUGCCAUUAAUGGGACAGAUUUUUGUACAUCAGCAAAAGAUGCACUCAAACUCUUAUCCAAGAAUUCAAGUCAUUUCACAUCUGUUAACUGCUUUGGAGACUUCAUAAUUUUUCUAGGAAAGGUGUUGGUGAUGUGUCUCACUGUUUUUGGAGGACUGAUGGCAUUUAACUACAACCGUGCCCUCCAGGUGUGGGCAGUUCCUCUGCUGCUGGUUGCUUUUUUUGCCUACUUUGUAGCCCAUAGUUUCUUAUCUGUGUUUGAAACUGUGCUGGAUGCACUCUUCCUGUGUUUUGCUGUUGAUCUGGAAACAAAUGAUGGAUCGUCGGAAAAGCCCUACUUUAUGGACCAAGAGUUUUUGAGUUUUGUAAAAAGGAUCAACAAGUUAAAAGACACGAGGGCACAGGGGGAGGAGAACUCACUAAGGAACGAGGAGGGAACAGAACUCCAGCCCGUUGUGUGAUAGGUGCCCAUUAGAGUGUUGCCCCUGGAAAGUGUCCUUCUUCUAAGAGCCAUUCACAGAAUAAAUGGUUUCUCAUAUGCAAAAUGGAGAAAAUACCACCUACUUUGGAUUUAGGAGAGGACUCAACAUAAGCAAUGUAAAAAGCACAGCGUAAUGUGGGCACCCUGGAGAGUUACAUGUGAGUACCUAUUAUGACCACAUACACUCUCCAGGCCAUCCAUUUCAGAAGCUCAUCACACAUUCAGCAGAACUUAUGCCGAGCAGUCCUUAAGGCCUGAAAUCUCAAAGAGCCAGCCACAAGUACAGUAACUCAUUUCUCCAUUUAUGCCAAGCAGACAGUUCCAGGUUUAACUGGUAAAAAAGCAAACUUGAAUGGCACCUAUACGAGACAAUGCCACAUGUGGCAGGACAUCUCAACUUUAGGUCACAAGGAGAAAGCUUUUUCAAACCCUAUCCCCCACUCCUGUUGGAUGUGAGCCCUGCCUGCUCUCCAGUGGUUAUGGGAACCUCCCUAUGAGGGGCUGAUCUAUUUUUAACAAGGAAAUACUUCCAUCUUGCAUGGUGUUAGAAUGCUGGCAUUCUCACCAUGCUAUAGCCCCACCUAACUCCUCCUUAGAACACCAGAUCAUUUUACCUACCAAGUUUCAGAGGCAUUAGAAGGAGCAAUUUACUUGGAUCUGGAGCAAGAAAUAAACUUGCUAUAAUAAACGUAUCUCUUUUCUUCUGGUUAGACGGAAAGACCAGCUGUUCUGACUGCCAACACACCAUACUUGUGUUCCUACAGAAAGGUCCUCUGAUUCUUUUGCUUUCUCAGCAAAACCAACUUUCCUGAAGGAAUAUACUUUAAAUAUACCAUACAAAAAAUACGUCCUUUGAACUUAGUAAGUUAAGUGUGGGAUGCCUGGGUGGCUCGGUUAAGCAUCCAACUUCAGCUUGGGUCAGGAUCUCACUGUUCCUGACUUCAAGCCCCACAUCAGGCUUCCUGCUGUCAGCACAGAGCCCUAUGUCCCCCCCUCUUGCUCCCUCUCUAAAAAUUAAACAUUAAAAAAAGAGUAAGUUAAGUGCUAAUUUAAAUGAUCCUUCUCUACUCUUUGCUCCAAGUAUAAAAAGGCACUGCUUACCUGGCUGGCUCCUUUGUUGGUGCCCAUCUGCAGACUAAUUGUGGUCUGGUCAAAAGGUUUGUCAGUUUGCAUUUUGGGAUCAUAAAGAUGCCUCCUGGUCCCAUAGGCCGUCAUACCUGCCUGGCUGGCGCACUUGUUGGUUCCCAUCUUUGAAGUUAAAAUUAGCAAUGAUUACCACAGGUCACCACCAUAUACGACAAGCAAAACUUUGUGUUCUACUAAAAAGACAGAGGGGCACAAUUGACAAGUCCCUUUUUGUGCUGAGGCUAGCUAGAUACAAAAUCUCCAUGCUUUCACAACUUUCAAGGUGCUCACUUUAUUAUUUUAAUUUUUUUUAACGUUUUUAAAUUUUUUUUGACACAGAGAGAGAUGGAGCAUGAACGGGGGAGGGUCAGAGAGAGAGGGAGACACAGAAUCCGAAGCAGGCUCUGAGCUGUCAGCACGGAGCCCGAUGCGGGGCUCGAACUCACAGACCAUGAGAUCAUGACCUGAGCCGAAGUCGGACGCUCAACUGAGCCACCCAGGCGCCCCCCCAAGGUGCUCACUUUAAAAAGAAAAAUCUCAAACAAGGUUUUAGAGGGCAGAAUUAUGAAUAAUUACCCCUGCUCCUCUUCUCCCUACUGUCUAUACAGCACAGAUAACCAAAUUAAGAGGUACCGCAUCAGCCACUUAAAGGGACAGAGGCACUCUGACUAGGCAGCAUGCUUUUCUACUCCAGGGGUUUGUAUAAAAAGUGACAGCAAAUGCCAGGUGUCUUCUCUGGCAGCUCAACAAGGGCUUCUUUCAAGUCUCAUUGAGAUCACCAGCAUCUUCAUGGGAAAAGGACCACAUUUUAUUCCUCCAACUCUCAUGUCACCGGAGAGAAAGAGUGAGGAAUGUGAACUCAACCAAAUUCAGAGGAACAAGAAUUCUUUUCUCCACUGAGAAUAUGGCUUUAAGGCCAACCGAUAUACCCAGUUCUAUUAGCUGGGGACACAUUUCUGAUGGGUCUUUUUCCUUAAAAAGGAAGGGAGGGAAAAAAAAUCAUUACAAUCCUACCACCCAGAUAUUAGCUGUAAACCUUUGUAUGUGUGUCCUUCUAGGCUUUAUCUUCUCUACCUGUGUAUAUAUUUAUCAAUACACAUGCAUGUAAAUAAAUAUACAUUCAAAAAUAGGCAUGUGCAUCUUUAAAGUAAAAUCGUGAUCGCACUGA